rnacentral:rRNA from 1 species
ACUCCUACGGGAGGCAGCAGUGGGGAAUUUUGGACAAUGGGCGCAAGCCUGAUCCAGCCAUGCCGCGUGAGUGAAGAAGGCCUUCGGGUUGUAAAGCUCUUUCGGCGGGGACGAAACGGUCCGUGACAACACCACGGACUAAUGACAGUACUCGCAGAAGAAGCACCGGCUAACUACGUGCCAGCAGCCGCGGUAAUACGUAGGGUGCAGGCGUUAAUCGGAAUUACUGGGCGUAAAGCGUGCGCAGGCGGCUCCUUAAGUCAGAUGUGAAAUCCCCGGGCUUAACCUGGGAACUGCGUUUGAAACUGGGGGGCUUGAGUGUGGAAGAGGGGGGUGGAAUUCCAGGUGUAGCAGUGAAAUGCGUAGAGAUCUGGAGGAACACCGAUGGCGAAGGCAGCCCCCUGGGCUAACACUGACGCUCAUGCACGAAAGCGUGGGGAGCAAACAGGAUUAGAUACCCUGGUAGUCCACGCCCUAAACGAUGUCAACUGGUUGUCGGGGAAGUUAUUCCUUGGUAACGAAGCUAACGCGUGAAGUUGACCGCCUGGGGAGUACGGCCGCAAGGUUAAAACUCAAAGGAAUUGACGG